GCCCUGCGGUUGUGAUGGAUGCAUGACAGUCUUCGAAACUGUUGGACGAGGUUCGAUUCCUCGGUGGGGUAC
rnacentral:tRNA from 3 species